rnacentral:rRNA from 1 species
AUUGAACGCUGGCGGCAGGCCUAACACAUGCAAGUCGAGCGGAUGAAGGGAGCUUGCUCCUGGAUUCAGCGGCGGACGGGUGAGUAAUGCCUAGGAAUCUGCCUGGUAGUGGGGGAUAACGUCCGGAAACGGGCGCUAAUACCGCAUACGUCCUGAGGUAGAAAGUGGGGGAUCUUCGGACCUCACGCUAUCAGAUGAGCCUAGGUCGGAUUAGCUAGUUGGUGGGGUAAAGGCCUACCAAGGCGACGAUCCGUAACUGGUCUGAGAGGAUGAUCAGUCACACUGGAACUGAGACACGGUCCAGACUCCUACGGGAGGCAGCAGUGGGGAAUAUUGGACAAUGGGCGAAAGCCUGAUCCAGCCAUGCCGCGUGUGUGAAGAAGGUCUUCGGAUUGUAAAGCACUUUAAGUUGGGAGGAAGGGCAGUAAGUUAAUACCUUGCUGUUUUGACGUUACCAACAGAAUAAGCACCGGCUAACUACGUG